UACACGUAACUAAAAUAAUUAUUUAAGCUACCCACAUUAUAUAUAACAUAAGUGAUAAUUACAUAAGAAAAGAAAAGAAUUUCAAGGAACUGUCUUUCGCUUAUAAAAUCUUUGUGAGUUGAUCGAGAAAGCAAGGACCCAUAGAGCUUAGCCAUGAGUGGAUCGAAAAGGUCUCGCGAAGCCGGUAAUCCUUUGUCCAAGAUCCUCUCGGAUUGUUGAAGAAGGAAAGAAAGAGGGAAUUUAUGCUAAACUCCUAGGGAUUACACUGUAAAAGAGAGGUUUUCAGGCGUUAGAACUCAAUAAUGUAAUUUUGAACUCUUCGUUUAUGCUCGUUGGUUCAUACUAAAUCUGACUUCUUCCGAUUCGACUUGAUGAACAACAGCAACCGGUCCAUUACCGUAGUCCCUGACCUUUGAAAGCAAAGAAGUCCCCUUGGCAAGUAUGCAUCUUAGACAAAGAACCCUGUGAGCUAGCGGCGGGGAGUAUCUUUUUU
rnacentral:misc_RNA from 1 species